rnacentral:rRNA from 1 species
CCUACGGGCGGCAGCAGUGGGGAAUAUUGCACAAUGGGGGAAACCCUGAUGCAGCAACGCCGCGUGAGUGAAGGAGGAUUUCGGUAUGUAAAGCUCUUUCAGUAGGGAAGAAGAAAGACGGUACCUGACUAACAAGCCCCGGCUAACUACGUGCCAGCAGCCGCGGCAAUAUGCAGGGGGCAAGCGUUAUCCGGAUUUACUGGGUGUAAAGGGAGCGUAGGCGGCUGUGGAAGUCUGAAGUGAAAGCCCGUGGCUCAACCGCGGAACUGCAUUGGAAACUGUGUGGCUUGAGUACUGGAGAGGCAGGCGGAAUUCCUAGUGUAGCGGUGAAAUGCGUAGAUAUUAGGAGGAACACCAGUGGCGAAGGCGGCCUGCUGGACAGAAACUGACGUUGAGGCUCGAAAGCGUGGGGAGCAAACAGGAUUAGAUACCCCUGUAGUC